rnacentral:lncRNA from 1 species
UCUCUGGUCGCUCACAGCCACACAAGCUUCCGACCUCUACAGAUGGUCCACACAAAGCCCCUCGGACUGAUCAGCCCUCCGCGGGAGUACUAGCAUGCGCAGUCAGCUUCUGAUGGUAGAUCUGACUUGAUCUCCUUUUUUAAUCACCUUGAACCUUUUUGAUGAUGAAGAUGGAUCAGAGGAGGAUGCUGGAUGGUGGAGAAAAAUUAGAUGAAGACUCUUCUCUUUAGUUUUUCUCUCAACCAAAAACCUAGAAUAGUUCUAGGUCUCUUACCAAGAGAAGAACGGUCUCCUCUCUGGUUCAUGCCA